CAAAAUCUCAUAGCUAGGGUUUUUUUUUUUUUUUUUUUUUUUGCUUCGAAUCGGGGCAAUAGAGAGGGUCUAAUCGACUCUUGGGUUCGUUCGUUCAGUGCGGUUUGUACUGUUAGGGUUAGGGAUAGGGUUUAUUGAUGGGAACGGAGAGGAAGAGGAAGGUGAGCUUGUUCGACGUGGUGGACGAGUCGAAGAUCGCCAAAAUCAACGGCGGCGCCUUCUCGUCCUCGGCGGCGGCGAUGAGCAACAGUGUUAGUAUUAUUGGCGGAGGUAAUAGCAGCAACCCCGCGAUCAAUAGCUGGACGGGGAGGCCGUACUCGCAGAGGUACUAUGAGAUUUUGGAGAAGCGGAGAGGCUUGCCUGUUUGGCACCAGAAAGAAGAGUUCUUGCAAGUUCUCAAGGCUAACCAGACUCUCAUCCUCGUCGGUGAGACUGGUAGUGGCAAAACCACUCAGAUUCCCCAGUUCGUUUUGGAAGCAAUUGAUUUAGAAACUCCAGAUAAGCGCAGGAAGAUGAUGAUUGCGUGCACCCAGCCUCGUAGGGUGGCUGCUAUGUCUGUUUCUCGUCGUGUUGCUGAAGAGAUGGAUGUAACUAUCGGAGAAGAGGUUGGUUAUAGUAUCCGUUUUGAAGACUGCAGUAGUGCAAGAACAGUUUUGAAGUAUUUAACAGAUGGUAUGCUUUUAAGAGAAGCGAUGACAGAUCCGCUUUUGGAACGCUACAAGGUCAUAAUUCUUGAUGAGGCUCACGAAAGAACAUUGGCAACUGAUGUUCUGUUUGGACUUCUGAAGGAAGUGUUGAAAAAUAGACCUGACCUGAAGCUAGUUGUAAUGAGUGCUACUCUUGAGGCUGAAAAAUUUCAGGGUUAUUUUUUUCAAGCACCACUUAUGAAAGUUCCUGGGAGGCUUCAUCCGGUGGAAAUAUUUUACACUGAAGAGCCUGAAAGGGACUACCUGGAGGCAGCAAUCCGAACUGUUGUGCAAAUUCAUAUGUGUGAAACUCCUGGAGAUAUACUUGUGUUUCUCACUGGUGAGGAGGAGAUAGAAGAUGCAUGCCGAAAAAUAAAUAAAGAAGUUGCAAAUAUGGGUGACCAGGUGGGACCUGUCAAAGUAGUGCCUUUGUAUUCUACCCUUCCUCCGGCUAUGCAGCAGAAGAUAUUCGAGCCAGCUCCACCUCCUGUGAAAGAGGGUGGCCCUGCUGGAAGGAAGAUUGUGGUGUCAACAAACAUUGCUGAAACUUCUUUGACCAUUGAUGGUAUAGUAUAUGUAAUUGACCCUGGGUUUGCAAAACAAAAAGUUUAUAACCCACGAGUGCGUGUGGAAUCAUUGUUGGUAUCUCCGAUCUCUAAGGCUAGUGCACACCAGAGAUCAGGGCGUGCUGGAAGAACUCAGCCUGGAAAAUGCUUUAGACUUUACACUGAGAAAAGUUUCCAGAAUGAUCUUCAACCACAGACCUAUCCAGAAAUAUUAAGAUCAAACCUUGCAAAUACGGUUCUUACUUUGAAGAAACUGGGAAUAGAUGAUCUAGUGCAUUUUGAUUUUAUGGAUCCCCCUGCUCCAGAGACAUUGAUGCGGGCUUUAGAGGUUUUGAAUUACCUGGGAGCGUUAGAUGAUGAUGGAAAUCUGACAAAGCUGGGCGAAAUUAUGAGUGAAUUUCCAUUGGAUCCUCAGAUGUCAAAGAUGCUCGUUGUUAGCCCUGAGUUCAACUGUUCAAAUGAAAUUCUAUCAGUUUCUGCCAUGCUUUCAGAUAGUUGCAGUUUCUCAGUAUUCUCUCAUGAAGAAAAUGGUAUCGUCUCGCCUCUAUGCAUCUGCUGACCUCCGUGGGCCUCCUCUGUGAUAACCAAUUUCUUUCUUUAGUACCCAAUUGCUUUGUCCGGCCUAGGGAGGCUCAGAAAGCUGCUGAUGAAGCAAAAGCUAGGUUUGGGCACAUCGAUGGAGAUCACCUCACGCUCUUGAAUGUAUACCAUGCAUACAAGCAAAACAAUGAGGACCCAUCAUGGUGCUAUGAGAACUUCGUCAACCAAAGGGCGUUGAAGGCCGCUGAUAAUGUUAGACAACAGCUCGUGCGUAUCAUGGCCAGGUUUAACCUCAAAUUGUGCAGCACUGAUUUCAACAGCCGUGAUUACUACAUCAACAUAAGGAAGGCUAUGCUAGCAGGUUAUUUCAUGCAGGUAGCUCACCUGGAACGUACUGGACACUACUUGACAGUGAAGGACAACCAAGUGGUGCACUUGCAUCCAUCGAAUUGCUUGGAUCACAAGCCGGAGUGGGUCAUCUAUAAUGAAUAUGUUCUAACAAGCAGGAAUUUCAUUCGGACGGUGACAGAUAUUCGUGGUGAAUGGAUAAUUGAUAUAGCACCACAUUAUUAUGAUCUGACGAACUUCCCGCAGUGUGAGGCUAAGCGUGUUCUUGAGAAGCUUUACAAGAAGCGGGAGAAGGAGAGGGAGGAGAGCAGGAACAGAAAGUGAUAAUAUUUUCAGCUUUGGCAUCGUUCAACUCCUUGUUUGCCUUUUCUACAACGGAAAGGAGGAGCCAUUUCCUGAGAUCUCAAUUCUUUCAUUAUAUUAGCCAUUGUGGAACUCUCAGGAGGACCAGCUUGGCAGUGAAAUCGGUGGAAAUUUGGCAAUGUUUCUGUACCAUUAACUAGUGCUAGUUUUAGUUAACUAUAAUUUUCUAUUGUAUUGAUUAUCUUAAUUUAUUCUGGAUUUGAUGGUUUCAUUUAAGAAAAACGGGAAUUAAUGUUAUCUAUGCUACAGGGAACAGGAUCCCCUCAAUUGGGCUUUA